GUCUUUGUAGCUCAGUUGGUUGAGCGCUUCUUCAUGAUGGGAACUAUCUGCGUGAGCUUGUAGGAAGUGGCGUGGGGUCGACUCCCACUGAAGACA